UACGGCUCCAAGUGUUGCCCUCAUUCAAAGUUCAGUAAAUAGAUUAUAUAAUCCCUAAUCCCUCAGGACAGGAUCCAAAAGCAGGCACGGCAUCAAAGGCUCUUCUAGUUACAAUAACAGCAUUCCCAUAGUAUUAAAAAAUGGCAAAUACUUUUUAGGUACGAAACAGUUCUCAGUUUGGAAUGUUCGAUCAAUAAAAUUUGAUUCAACAAGCUUCAAGAGAUGGGCAGAAACAAGGGACAAAGUCAUGCAGCAAACUUGUUAUGAGCAUAUCUUUUUUUCAUCAAGGAGAAACCUAUCCUGACACCCGCAGACAGAGGAAAAGGGCUACUAGAAAGGAGAACUGGAAAUAGCAUAAUGAACCAUCACAUAAGAUGAGUGUUGACACCUAAAUUUUGGCGAUCUUAAAGAAAUAAAAUUUGCAUAGCAUAAAAAAAAAAGGGAAAUAAGGGAAGGAUCAAUAUGAUUUGGUUAUGAAUGGAAUGUAGAAAUUCUGAUUAACCAUCCUUGCUCUGGUGAAUAUUUAAUUUAUAGUAAAUAUGAAAGUAAAUUCUCAAUCAAAGAAAUCAGAUGAAUAAAAAAGUAAGGAGUUUGAUAAAAUGGAAGGAAUCGAAAUAUUCAAGGAAAAAUCAAACCGAUUGCAAGAUUUUGCUCUAAUUUACAUGAAUUAAGGUAACGGAAAAAGGAAGCUCGAAAAUUGCCAUAAAAGAGGGUGGUCGGGAUCACUAUAAAAGUAGACCAAAAAUUUUCGAGCAAAAGAGGGAGAUUUCAAAAAAAAAAUUGAGGAGAAAAAGCGAGAGGUUUUCUUCAAAGAACAGAAAAAGUGAAAAAGGGAGAGGCAGAGAGGACUGGUGAGUGACGUGAGAGAAAGAGAGAAAAAAAAAAAGAAAAAAAAAAGGGAAGCAAAACAGGGCUACAGUAUCGUCCUCUUCCUCCCAACGCUGCCCCCUGUUCGCGUUGGUCCUGUGCCCGCGCUGGUCACAGCCCCGACACCGCAACGCCAGCCACCGCCGCAUCUCGCCACCUCGCCGCUCUGCUCGCCUCCGCCACCGCUGCUCCGCCGGUCACGCCGCGACUUCCAGCCCCGCCACCGACCCCUGCAGUAGCUCCCUCCGCUUCGCCUGCAACCCGCCGGUUCGCGAUUCAGCCGGUAAUCGCCGCGCCUCUGCGCACCAGCACCCGCAAGCCUCGCCGCACAGCAACCUGCGACCCGCAGCAACUCGCGCACACCACCCGACGACCCCCCGCGACGCUGCAGCAGCCUGAGAACCCGCGCCGGCCAUCGCGACCUGCUGCUGCCCAGCGCGACGCCGGAGCUCCAAAGCCCGCCGCUCCUGACCUCGCCACGCCACCAUCUCUGCACCGCCCGUCGCCGCUCGUCUCCCUCUGCCUGAGCUCACUGUCAGUCGCACGCCUGCACCUCCGCCCAGCAACACCGACUUUGCGAGCACCCAAAUCCGACGCCGCCUCUGUUGCUUUUGUAGCACCGCCGCUCGGAGCCCGACGCCGCCGCGACCUGUUGCUGCCCAGCCUCUAGCCGGAGCUCCGAAGCCCGCCGCUCCUGGCCUCGCCGCGCCACCGCACCGCCUCCGCUUGCGAUCCGUUUCCCCGUCGACGCCACUGUCCUCUCUUGAGCCUUAGGUGGUUUAUUUAUUUUUUAUUCAUUUAUUUGUUUAUAUUUUAAGUUUUAUUAUUAUUAUUUAAGUUAGAACAUGGUAUGUUAAUGUUAAUUAUUUGUAUUGUUUAGACAUUAUCUGCUAGGAUUUUGUCCGGAAUUAUUGUAAUUAUUAAUUUAAUCCGAGAGACAUCGGAUUUUUUUUUUAAUUAUAUUAAUUUUUGGGCUUUUUGGUAGAAUUUUAAAUUAUUAUAAUUAUUAAUCUGAUUCGUAAGACUUCGGAUCAGAUUUUUAAUUAUUUUGAUUUCUUUGUUGUGAUAAUUAGGGUUACGAUAAUCGUUAAUUUGACCUGUGAGACAACGGGUUAUUUUUUCGAUUAUUUUAAUUAUUUAUUUUGCUGAUAGGUUAGAUUUAAUAUUUAUUUAAUAAUUACUUAUCUUUUAAAAAAAUCAUAAAACCAAAAAAUCAAAAUUCUGCAUGAACAUAUAAGUUUAGUAAAUCAGACAUGUAGGUUUAGUAAAUUAGAAUUUUCUUAGGAUUACAUUUUUAGGAUUGCAUUUUUAGAAAUAAGUUAGGGUUGGACCUAAAUUAAUUUUUUAGAUAAUGUUCACACAUUUUAAUUAUUUCAUUUUUCAAAAAAUAAUUUUCUGAGAUAUGAUAGGAUUUAAGUCAAAUUAAUCCCUAGAAUAAAUUAGAAAAUUAUCCCUUUUUAGAUAGUUUAAUUAGGGUUUUUAUUAAUUCUGAAUUUCAAUAAAAAAAAAUACAAAAAUACUAGGUGCAUGUUAAUUAGUUCACAUAAUAGGAUCAUUUAAUAAGAAUUUCUUCAUUAGUGAAGUUAGGUCAUGAGGUGCAUAAUAACUAGUUUGCAUAAUAGACCCAUUUAAUUAGAAUUUGCAUAUUAAUAAGAUUAAGUCAUUUAGUUUUAAAAAAAUGCAUUUUUAUAAAAGAAUUCUAACUUUCAAGAAAACCCAAAAAAUUUUUUGCUUUGUGUGAUGCAAUUUAUUUAUUGAAUGUUUGAGCAUCCGUGUGGUCACUUUUUGCAUAAUAGUAAUUUAGGUUAAAAUAAAUCAGCUGCCUGCAAAAAAACAUUUUUGAAAUUUAAAAAGAAAUGGUACCGAAAGGGCAUUAGAGAGAUCUAAUGUAAUCAAGUCCCCGUACCCUUAAUCUUUUGUUCGUAGGAGUAAAAUAAUCCUCACAUUAUUUCACUUAGGUGUCUAAUCGAUCUACCAUAAACCGAUUAGUGGCGACUCCUAAUUAAUAAUCUUUUGCAUGUUAAAUUUUUGAACCUUAAGUCGCGAAUUGGUAUGUGCUUGGGAGAGCCCAAGUUAAGUUUAAAGACUUAGUAGUCCAUUAACCUAGUUUUAUGUAGUGCACCCGAAAAAUAAGUCGCGACAAUGAGUGUGAAGAAAAAAGAGCAUCACAGGAGGGACAUCUAUAAGAAAGGCAAACCCAGGGAAUCAAAGUCUGGAUUUCUGCAGGAACAGCUUUCAUCACCUCUUCAUAUAGCAUCGAGUUCUUCCCUCCAAGGACAUCCUUCUUGUUGACAAUCACAACCAACCCACAUCCUUAUACUACAGCUUGUCCGACUAUGACCCUUUCGGCAUGCUUCAUGCUUCGUUGUGCUUCAGCAAUCUAAAAAGGUAGGGGCAAAAAAUGUAUCAGUUCCAACAAUUGAAUCUAUUUAUGCAGAAGUACCGACUUUAGUUGAGUAGGUUACAUAAGGAAAAUGAACUGAAAAUUUCUAAUGGGGGAUGAAGCAUUCGGAUUUAAACCCACAAGAUGCUGCCACUGGCAUAAUGAUGCCAUCAGAACUCCAUCAAUUUGAAAUUGUUGGCAUAAUGAAAUGGUACAUCAAAACUCCAUCAAUUUCCAGCAAAAUGAUGCUACAAAAUACAAAUGGCAACUCAAAAUUUGCUGCCAACAACUUGCUCAUCCAGAAUUUGAACUCCAAAAACAAUGAAAAUGACACCAGAGCGACUAUAAUCACCGAGCAAUCUCGUACCCUUGGAGAGAAUGUCCAGAAAUCCAAUUUAACCGGGCGAGCGGCAUCCGGCGCUGAGCAGGGACGUCGGUCGCUGGUCUUCAGGGCAACGGCGUCAGGC
rnacentral:lncRNA from 1 species